rnacentral:rRNA from 1 species
UACGAAGGGGGCUAGCGUUGCUCGGAAUUACUGGGCGUAAAGCGCACGUAGGCGGCUCUUUAAGUCGGAGGUGAAAUCCUGGAGCUCAACUCCAGAACUGCCUUCGAUACUGAAGAGCUCGAGUCCGGGAGAGGUGAGUGGAACUGCGAGUGUAGAGGUGAAAUUCGUAGAUAUUCGCAAGAACACCAGUGGCGAAGGCGGCUCACUGGCCCGGUACUGACGCUGAGG